AAGUGGCCGUUAGAUAUUCAUCUGUCCACAGUUAGACAAACUGUCUAUAAAUGGAGAUGAUUUAGUACUAUAGGUACUCUCUCUAGAAGUGGCCGUUAGAUAUUCAUCUGUCCACAGUUAGACAAACUGUCUAUAAAUGGAGGUGAUUUAGUACUAUAGGUACUCUCUCUAGAAGUGGCCGUUAGAUAUUCAUCUGUCCACAGUGAGACAAACUGUCUAUAAAUGGAGAUGAUUUAGUACUAUAGGUACUCUCUCUAGAAGUGGCCGUUAGAUAUUCAUCUGUCCACAUUUAGACAAACUGUCUAUAAAUGGAGAUGAUUUAGUACUAUAGGUACUCUCACUAGAAGUGGCCGUUAGAUAUUCAUCU